CAUUCCCAGCUCUCCUGGAGCCCCUUCAGGCCCUGCAGGGGCUCUGAGCUCUGUGCUCAGAGCAGAGGUGCCCCAUCCCUCUGACCACCUUGGAAGAGGUUGAAACCAGACAGCUUUCAGUUCCCUUCCCACGCAGACCAUUCCCUGAUUCCACAUUGAUUUUCCCUGUAACAAUCCAUGAAUUUCCACAUAAUAAUCAUUGGGAGAGUCUCUCCGUGGGGAGCUGAGGACGCUUCACCGGGCAGAAAACACAAAGCAGCGGGAGGGGCUCAGGUCCCAGCAUUGCCUGGAGGGCUGGGGGAGGCUUUGGGAGCGUUCCCGGUGUGGCUGAGGCCGUUCCCGGUGUCCCCGCAGGAGUGAGGAGCCCUUGCCCUGCACCGAAGCCACGUUGAACGGCCCCGCUUGAUGGCAGCGCCCCGGGACGUGUGUGAGAGCCAGGCCAGGCUGCUCCCUGUUUUUAAUGGAUGCAGGAACAGCAACACUUUUGCACUUUGUACCUGGCGAUGGCAGCGUCGGAGGGGACACGGCUGCCCGGGGAGGGGACACCCAGGUCCCUCGGGGCCGUGGGAGAGCGGGGCCAGGAUUGGUGCUAGAGUUCUGCUGGACAUCGGCUUCCCUUGGGGCGUUCUCGGGGCUGGUUCCAUGGAAGCUGAAGGAUCCAUGUGCUGGUACAGCCUGGCUGGGUCCUGGGGGAUGCUUUUCCAGCCUGUUCCCGGUGCCGUGUGGGAUCGGCUGGAGCGUUCCUGUGGCUGGGAUCCCUUGCCGAGGGUCUCCAGGGGAUGGGGCUGUCCGUGCCUUCCGCUGCAAUUCCAGCCUGGCAUUCCUCAGCUUCGGCUCCCUGAGUGUCAGUGAGAGCUUUAACAAUAACCAUUCUAUUAAUAAUAAUGAUUCUAAUAAUAAUAAUAAUAAUAUCCUUGGCCAUGUCCUGAUCCGAGCACAGCUCCUUACUGGGCUGAUUUAUUUCUUAGUGCUGAGACACAUCUCUGGGGCUGGCUCAGAGCUGGGGAGAUGCACAAAUCCCACGGGUUUGGUGCCCGUGGAUGAUCCCUCCACGGCUGGGAUUGAGGCUCUCACUUCUUCCACCUCUCCCUUCCCUGGGGUUGUUCCUCCCAGCAGCCAGGGCUGCUCCAGAACCGACUCCUGCUGCCUGGGCUCCGAGCAGAGCCUGGCUCCUGGCCUGGCUCCCGUGUUCCCGUGGGGAAACCGGCAAUAGGAAACCCUCCGGAGGCACAGCGGGCGUGGAGCCUCCCAGCUGGGCUUUUCCUUCUCCCUGUGCUCCGGGAGGGGUUUCCCAGGGCUGGAGCGGGAUCUCCCGGCUCCUGAGGAUGGAAUUCCCUGUCCCCCCCUCCCCUCAUCCCUGGCCCUGUGCGGCUCCGUGUCCCGAGUCCUGCUUGACGCUUCCCCCCUGCCCCAGGAUCUCCUGGUGUUCCAUGGAUCCCGGGAGAAACCUGGGAAGGGCCAGGGGAGCACGAGGAGCUGGGCUUGAGCUCCGUGAGCAGCACGGCCCAUCCAGGGGGUGCUUCUGGAAUGUUCUGUGCAGUGGUUCUGCCUGCCUGGGCAUCC
ensembl:lncRNA